CCAUACUCUAUGUGUAUAAAAGCAGAGCCGAUGCUCAGGAAAGGCAGUUGAUCCAUCGACCGGCUCGGCUUUGCAACUCUGUAUUAAAGUCUAUAUUGAAUUCACAAAGUUCUUGCAAGAGUAUUAUAUUCUUAAGACAAUUUUCCACGACAUAUUUGGCGAGCUUGCCAGGAGAUCGAAGAGACCUCGGACAGUGUCGUUCUUGGCUGGUGACGGUUUCUCUGGACAAUCUCACAAACGGGUGGCCACCCAACUAUAAACAGAUUUUGUGUCCAACAGGUGAAUUACAGGAGAAGGUGAUUCACUCAAUCCAACCAGGAGACUGGGUGUGGAUCCAGUCCCUGAGGAGAAAAGACAGGAAGCAGCCCCGUGGGGAAGGCCCAUACCAGGUUCUGUUAAACCACUGCCUUUGCCAUUAGAAAAGCUGAGAGAGUCACUUGGGUCCACGUUACCCACUGCAAGAAGGUAUGUACACAUAUGAGCACUGCUGAUCACACACAGAGUUAGGAGAAGAACCGAGUACCAACAGGGUCCGGGGGUCACCUCCUUAACGAAGAUUCCCUAUCCCGACCGUUCAUCACUGUGUGUGCUCCUAGAGGUGUGAGUAUGGGGUGGUACCAAGCAGAGAGACUAAGGGCAGGAGAGGGUUGGCGGUUUUUGGGAAGAGUAGAGACUCUGAGCUGCAUCAUAGUCUAAUCUUUCUGAUACAUUCAGAUCCACCAGAUUCCGGUACUAAUCAAACGAUACCGUUGUCAUCGAGAAGAAGUAAAAGAUAAACUAUAUAAUACACUGAUGAGUGACUUACAUAAUAAGGAGUCAAAGAAGAUCAAGAUGUAGGAUUUAAGAGAUUCAUGAAUGAAACCGGGGAUGCAGUAAAGAGGUUCUCUGACCAAUUAUCCACCACCUCCCUCAUGACCUGGUAAAAUAGACUGACUCUCGAUAUGUUACUGGCAAAAGAGGAUGGUGUAGGUAGAUUGAUUAGGUUCAUUGCUGCACGUACAUUCCUGAUAACACAGCUCAUGUUUGGGAAAUGGAAAAGUGUUGUUAUGGGCUGCUUUCACCUGUAUGAUUGUGUUUGUGUUGUGUGGUUGUUGUUUGGUCCCGUGUGCGAGAGGUCUCAUUUCCAGGGUUCUGGAGAGAUUGAUAACGGAGCAGAUGGGCAACCGGAAUGAUGCCUUUGAUGGAAGUGACCCCAGAGGACACUGAAUCCAGCUCUGGGCAAUGGUCCUUGGUUUGCUGUUGAGGAAGUGAUUGAAUAAAGCUUAUCCAAAAUGUUCUUAUAUGUGUUGAAUGUAGUGGCAGGUGGAUGUGAAGGGUUUUAAGUUCUGGGACAAAGAGUCUGUCCCACACAUGUUAGGUGUAGCCCCUGCCAUAAGAAGGUCCUCUUUUUAUACGUUUUUUAAAUAAUAUGUUCUGAAUUUAUCCUGUGUACUAUUUGUCUUUCCUGAUGUGAGGGUUUGAAGUUCCUGGGUGACUGGUAGUGAACCUAGUACAAGUGAGGUGUAGCCGGAAGGACUUGAGGGUUUUUUAAACUAAUCAUUUAAUCAUUAAAUCGAAAAUUUACAAUUGUGUUGAGUGACACCCUAGGGGGUGUCAAAAGGGGGAAUCUCAAAAUUUCCCUGAAAUUUUAAGAACUUAUGUAUUCACACCUAUCAGGUGUGAAAAGGGGGAUUGUUAGGGUUUGACCAACUAUUUGUUAGCAUAACCUAUAUAAAAUAACAGAGCAGCUAUGCUAUAAUAUGAAGUAUAUAAACUAUAGAUAAUUGAGUACUGCUAUAUGUUAAGAGGAAGUGGCUCAUGUGAUGGUGGGUCAUGUGGAAAGAAUACUGAUGCUUUAAAACAGGGUUUUGCAAGAGCUUUUUGCUGAACAACAGCAAUAACAGGAUAUGGGUGAAAUGUAUGUGCAUGGGGGUGUAAGGGUUUUAGAGAACUGUGCAUUGUGCAGUCACAAGAUGAGACAUCCGCCAGGAAGCUGGAGUGCGUCUAGAGGUUGGGACCAACCUGCACGCCAACGAUAGGCUGGAAUAAGUCUAAACCAUAUUCUAGCCUCUACUAUGACAGGCCCUCAGGGAGAGGGAACUAAGUCUGUCCAGUAUUUAAGGAAGAACUUGUAAUGUCAUACCAGAUCUCUGUCUGCCCUGCGUGGUGUUACAGUGAGCCCGUAUAUACGAACCACAUAUUUACCAUUCAAGUGUUUGCAUUAAUUAAAGUACAAAGAAAUCAGAAGUUACUAUGUGCUGACUAUUUUGUUCUGAUACCAGAUUCGAAUUGACGCGACCUGACAGGAUAAAAAAAAAAUACAAAAUAUCUAUAUAUUCAUAACGUAAAAUAAAGAAAUAGUGAAAUACAGGCUAUCGCGUCUAUGGUUGUUGCAAAUGCUUGUGUGUCGCCUACUGGUUAAAUUCGUGUCUUUUCGCACGAUUUGAACCACACAAAAAUGCACAAAAACGCACGAAAUCUGCUGAAAUACAUUUUGUACAUAUAUGCGCGAAUUGAAUGUGAGGUUGGCCUGAAAGGAAUCAGAGAUGGGCGUUAUUGGGCGUGAACAAGCAAAGAACUAGGGAUGAAAGAUAAUGGUGACAGAAGGACUGAGGGAAGUAACUUUUACAUAUGGAAUGUACUCCCAUACUGUAUGUAUAUAAAAGCAGAGCCUAUGCUCAGGAAGGGCAGUUGAUCCGCGGACUGGCUCGGCUUUGCUACUCUGUAUUAAAGUCUAUAUUGAAAUCACAAAGUUCUUGCAAGAGUAUUAUAUUCUUAAGACAAUUUUCCACGACAUCAUCCCUACUGCCUUUGAUCUGGAGGACUCACUAAACAGAGAACAUCUCUGUUCAUCCCUACUGCCUCUGAUCUGGAGGACUCACUAAACACAAAUGCUUCAUCUGUAAAUGAUGUUUGAGUGUGCCCCUGGCUAGGGUCCAAAGUAUAGACUACACAGUUGUUACAGGAC
rnacentral:lncRNA from 1 species